rnacentral:lncRNA from 1 species
GCACCCCAUACUACGUUGUGUCGUCGAUAUGGGGUGGUGGUGGGGGGGCUUGCCCUAGGUAGGCCUAGCGGAAACCCAUGCCCGGAAGUCGUUACUCAAAGAAAAUCCAGUGUCGACAAUGGUAUUCCGGUGAUAUUUUCUAAUUCAGACUCCAAUGAUCGCGUUGUUCGCCUAUCCUCUGACAUAAACAUAGAGUUCAUUCGCCUCAGACCCAACAUUUGCCGAACAACAACGGUGUGGAAGGUCGAUGAUUACGACCAUUCAGCCGGAAAAUGGUGGGUGGUAACUAAUGGGGUUAAAGGGAACCCGGGUGCCAACACUUUGACCAGUUGGUUUAGAAUAGAGACGGAGCGUAGUCCUUUUUACACAUUUAAGUACUGUCCCGCAGUAUGUGGAACAUGCCCAGCUUUAUGCAACGAAAUUGGGAAAUACACAGAUGGAGAAAUGGUACGUUUUGCUCUCUCCACUAGCCCUGGAUGGUCAUUUUACUUUAAGAAAGUUAAAAAAUCAGCCACGGAGAUUCAACAAGUUGUUCAUAUUUAGAUUGAAAGCAAUCCUUCUGCAUGAACUAGUAGUUACUAUAUAAUAUUAGCUUCAAGUAAAUAAUGCUGAGAGAACUGAUUGUUAAGAUUGCCUUGUUUGAAGCAGCAGCAUGUAUAUAUACAUGCUUACUUACAAGGUUUGUCUCUCAGAGUCCUUCUCUUUGUACUCUUUUCAGCUUAAUGAAUAAACUGUUUACUUAUUUACUUCCUUUGUUACCAUUGAUUCUAGUAUUAGACUCAUUAACUCGGAUACGGUGCCUUGUAAUUAACCAAAAAGUUAUAUAUAUAUAAAGUGUGUGAGAGAGGAAAAUAGACUAUCAAGUGCCAAGUAAAAAAUGUUAAUACUAGGAUUAUCGAGAGCGAUUUCAACGGACAACAUGAGUGGAAUAGUCGUUGGAUGGUUACGACAUUUUAUCUUUAGAGACAAAGAAGGGUUGUUCCGUAUUCGGAGUUCGUGGCUACUCCUUCAAUAAUGCCUUUUCAAAAUUUAAACUUGCAUCAUCCUUUGAACACGUAAUGUGUCUUACCAUUACACCCAACAAUAUUAAUGACUUACUCUAUUGUAUUCUGUCCUAUUAUUAAUUAAUGAUUAUGAUAUAUAUUAAGUUUAAGAUAAAUUUUCUUAUUAAUGUAUAUCAAUUGAAUCAAAUAUUUGUUUUUAAAGUUUUAACUCCACAUUAAUUUUUUUAAUUUGUCCGUUUAUUCGCAGUGAUUAGGAGAUUAAUAGUUGUCUUUAUGGUUGGUAGCUUUUUAACUCAAUAGGGAACUUGGGUUGAUAUGGGCUCGACUCCACCUAAAUAAAAAAAAUGUAUUUAAAUCUCUUUAUAAUUUAUAAAAUUUUAAAUUAAUAAUAAUAAAAUUAUAUUUUAACUCUAUGAACCAGCAAAAUUUGUACAAUUGAUGAUAAUAAUGUUAAGAAGAUGUUUACUGCCACGUGGAAAUUUUUGGAAUCGUCCAUUUGUUUUUAUAUUUGUCAAUUUGCUUGAAUGGUUAAGAGUAGAAAGACAAACUAUAAUUAAGUAUACAAAACCAAACAAAUUUCAAGGCUUUUCUCUUCAAUUAUUGUCGACCUUAGCUAAAUUAUAUUAAUAGUGACUUAUUUGUUAGUAAUUUUUUAUUAUUUAAUUAUAAAAAAAUUAUGAAAUAAUUAUUUAACUAUAAAAUAUAUAUAUAAAAUAGUCAUUUAACUAUUCACUUAUUUUCUUUUUUUAUCAGCACGAUAAUUUUUAUAAGUAGUAUAAUAACAACUUUAAUCAUCAAUAGUUAUAUAUUAUGUUAAUUUAAUCUUAAUUUUAAAACAUUUAACUCUUAAUAUUUUCACAUUGUGUAAUUUAGUCAUUUUUAUAAUUUUACUUUUCUUUGUGGUAGAUAUAGCACUUCUCUAUAACAAAUAAAAUUGAAAUAAACAAAUGGAAUUAUUAUAAUGUAUUUUUCAAUUUUCUAAAGUGGUUCUAUUAAUUUACUUGGUCAUCCUUUCCCACCUCUAUAAAUUGACAUGGAGAUCUAAAGCAACACAUACCAACACAAUUGACCUGUAUAACCAUGAAAACCACAAAAGCUUCUGUGUUUCUUCUUUUCAUCAUCUUCUCAGUCACACCAUCAUCCUUUUUGUUUGGUGGGGCCAACGCUACAAACGAACCUGUGCUCGACACUGAUGGCAACGAAGUCCAAACAGGUACCGAAUAUUACGUUGUGUCGGCGAUAUGGGGUGCUGGUGGUGGGGGGCUUGCCCUAGGCAGGCCUAGCGGAAGCCCAUGCCUGGAAGUCGUUGCUUAUUAGAAGCUACCCAUAUCUUUGAAAAGUCAAAGAUAUGGGUGUUAGAAAGUUGGAACCGAAAAUAAAAGAAUUUAUGGCACCGAAAUUUGGUUUGAAAUUUGGCAUGGAAUAAUUGCAAUUUUGGUCCCUAAUUGUAUAGGGACUUUGCAAGUUGGCCCUUGAACCUCAACUAUAAAUAGGCCUAAUCAUUUCUCAUUUUCUUCAUCCCAUAUUUAUUAUUCUCUACUUAAAGCAUUAUUCUCUGUCCAUAUUUGUAAAUUUCACUUGUAUUUUUGGAGUGAAAUAUAUUUGGUAGUGCCCGGGGACGUAGGCAAAAUUUGCCGAACCUCGUUAAAAUUCUGGUGUUCUUUAUUAUUUAUUUUUGCAUAUUUUGUGAAUGUCAUUGUAGUGAUUUAUUGUGCUAUUAAAUUACGAUAGAGGGAUAUUAUGGCUAGUAAAGACCUGGUACUUAAGUGAUCCUCGUGAUCUGUAAUAGCCUAAAUUUUUAGUGGUGUUGAAACAGUGAUUCGAGAUCACUAAAUCCAAAAAAUGAGUAGAAAAUAUUAAUAAUUUAGUGAAUAUAAGUUAAAUGUGAAGUUAGGAAAAUUUUUGAAAUAGCGAAUAGUGUACUAGAAAUAAAAAUUAAAUUAGAAUCGGAAACGAGAUAUCGAGAGUUUGAAAAUUUUUAAAACGAGCCAUAAAUAUUUUUAUAAAUAUUUAUGGAGUGUUAAUAAGUUAGUAGUAAAGUUUCGUCAAGAAAUUUUAAAGUUUCGAUAGUUAAUUGAAUAAAAAGGAUUAAAUUGUAACAAAUGUAAAAUUAUGGGAAAUGAUUAAAUAGCUUAAUUGAUAAAAGAAAGAGGGUUUAAAAGGAAAAUAGACCCAAGGUAUAUUUGGGAUGGACGGCAAGGUGUAUGAAAUCAGCAGGAAAAUUGAUGAAUUAAGGGCAAAAUUGAAAUAUUGCAAAAUUUACUUAAUAAACUAGGACUAAAGUGGAAUUAUCUAGAAUUCUCACUAUUUUUCUGCAUUCUCAUAAGCAAAAACACCAUAGAAGGGUUUUCUUAAGCUGGUUUUUUAUAUUUUUACUGCAAGUAAGUUCAAUUCUUGAUUAUUUCUUGAAAUUUUUGUGUUUUUAUGACUUUUACAACUAGGUCCACUUGUUGAAUUCAUUAGUUUUUGAUUCUAUGAAAGAAAUUGGAAGUUGUUAUGAAUAUCUGUUGGAAGUAUAUGAUGAUUUAGCAUGGAAUUAGUGUUUUAAAUUGUUUAUAUGCUGAUUUUAUUGAAAGAAUUGAAUAGAAAGUGAAUGUUUGGGACCUAAUGGUGAAAGAGUUUGAAGUUAGUGUUUUAUGUGGAAAUUAUGAAUUUAAAUAAUUUUUAAAUAACUUAUAAUGUCUAGGUAAAGAAUUAAUUGGGAAAAAUUAGCUUCAUUGAGGGAUUAAUUGAGCAAGGACUAAAUUGUAUGAACUGUGAAAUUUGGGGCAAAAACCGAAAUCAACAUUUGCACUAAAACAGUUUUGGACAGCAGCAAUAGUCUAACUUUUAAAAAUCACCAUAAAUUUUAGAAAUCGAAUUAGAAGAUGAAAAAAAGGUGAAAUUAAAGCUUACUGAGUCUAGUUUCUCAUAGAAGAAACAGUGUAAGCAACGGAAUUGUAGAUCAUGAGAUAUAAUAGAUUUUGUGAGACACUGUCAGAAUGAUUUCGGGUUCCCCUGUUCUGACUUUGGAAAAUCAUCAAAAAUUGUAGAAAAAUAAUUAGGGGCUUAAAUUUAUAUUUUUAAAAUCCUUAAUGGGUCUAUUUUCAAUAGAAACAAACAUGGACAUCAUCCAAAUUCUGUACGAAGAGAUAAUUAAUUUUUAGUGAAGUGUUGGAAUUGUUAGACAGCAGAAUAGGGGUGACUUUAAAGAAUAAACUAUACUUAUUGGCUAAACAAAAAAUUCUAAAAAUUUAUGAUAAGAAGAUAUAUGAGUCUAGUUUCAGGGAAAAUUAGCUAAUCCUAAUUUGGAGUUCUGUAGCUAAAAAUAAAAAUAAUUUAGUGACUAUGGCACCGAUGGACAGCAUUGGAAUAUACAUAAGUAAACAAUUAAAUUAUAGAUAAUAUUACUUAUAAGUGGGUUGAAGAUGAAGUCAAUACUGAUAAGUGAAUGAUUUUACAAUGAUAGAUCGAGAACCCGAAGCAAGUCGAGGAAAAGAAAAAGUAGCUGAUUAGUCCCUGAACUUUCACAAAUUUUACAAAUCGACCCAGGUAAGUUCAUAUGGUUGAAGUUUAAUGAUUAUAUGUAAAUUUUAUGAAUUAUAUAAUGUAUGAUGAAAUAUAUUUAUUGAUGAAUAGAGAAUAAAAUAACAACCCGAAAAUCAAAUAAAUGAUCAAAUUGAGCGGAACGUCGGAUUUGAGUACUUCUGAUCAGUGACAAGUGAUAACUGGUAGCCUCAGCUACAGUUAUCUGAUCAGUGAUAAGUGACAAUUAGUGAUAAGUGGUAGCUUUAGCUACACUUAUCUGAUCAGUGACAAGUGAUAAAUGUGAUCAGUGUAAGACUGUGGCAGGACUAUGACUUCAAAAAGUGAUAAGUGAUCAUACGCAAGACCAUAGUUAUACUAUGGCAAAGUGAAAGUGAAGUACUCAAUUUUCCGUAACCGUUCCCUAAUUUGGUUGAAGAAUGAUAUGUGACAAACGGGCCAAAAAGAAUUAAAGGAAAUGGAUGAGUGGUAGUAAGUUUAUACAAAGGGAACUCACCAAUGACUGUGGUUGACAGGUGAACUUAAUAGUUGUGUAUAUUGUAUAAGUGUAUAAAUAUUUGGUAAGAUUUAUGUUUUAUGUAACGCCCCAAUUUUCGGGAAUCCUGUGAAUGUUGGCAUAGGUUUAAUUAUGUUAGUGGGCCUCUAGAAGGCCCAAGCUUAAGAUAGAACCCGACAAUUUUAGUUAAUUUUUGUUCCAUAAGAAAAAGGGGGUGAAAUUAUGAAAUAAAACCUAUGUGAAAAUGUUUGAAAAUGCUAUAGGCUAAAUUGAAGUGGCCAAAUAAAUAGGAGUGCAAAAUAGGAGGAUUUGCAUGACAAACCUCCCAUUUUACAUGAAGUGGCCAGCCAUCAUGUUGUUGUAGACAAAAUGUGCACUUGAUAUCCAUAAUUUAUGGUACAAAUUGAUACAAAUUGAUAAUAGGUUAGGUAAAUGUUUCAUGAUAAUGGGUUAGGUAAAUGUUUCAUGAUAAGAAUUUCAUGUCUUUUGUAUUAAAGAAUUAAAUGGAUGAAAUAUAAAGUUUUAUUAAAAGAAAAAGGGGUGAAAAGAACAAAGUUUUGUCCAUCUUUGUUCAUCAUAGCUGAAAGUUAGAGAAGAGAAAGGAGAGUAGAAAGCUCUUGAGUAUUCGGUCAUUAGGAGGAGGAAAAUUGAAGGUAAGUUCUUGGUACCUUGCUUCUAUUUUGAGGUUCAUGAGUUCUUCUUGAUUCUACCUUAACUCUUGAAGUAUAUUUUGAUUUUUGGUUGUGUUGUGAGCAUUUGGUCAUGAAUUAAAAUGAAGGAAAUGGUUGUUGUUUCAUGUUCUUUUGAUGAAAAAUGGAAGAUAUGUAAAGUUGAGCCAAACAAAUGAGCAUGCAUGUGCCUUAGAUGCUAAAGGGAAAAAUCGGUUAACAUGUUGUGCUUUAGAUUAUGCUUAAGUAGAAAUCAUAGAUAUGUGAUGAUUGAUUGGUGAUAUACAUGUUUAAAUAACAUGCAUGCAAGAUAGGUGUAUGAAAGAGUGAUUUGGUAAUAAAUCUGCUUGGGACAGCAGCAGUAACGUGACUUUGAAAAAUCACCAUAAAUUUUGGGAGAUGAAUUAGAAGCUGAAUAAAUUAUGUAAUUAAAGCUUAUUGAGUCUUGUUUCUAAUGAAAUAAACAAGAACAUAUUUUGAAUUCUGUACAAUGAGAAAUUUGAUUCAUAAUGAAGAGUGGUCAGAUUAGUCAAACAGUGAAACAUGAGAAACUUCGAGAAAAAUCUGGUAUUGAUUGGCUAAACCAAAAAUUCUGAAAAUUUUAUGGAUAGAAGAUAUAUGAGUCUAUUUUCAAGGAAAAUUAACGGAACUUGAUUUGGAGUUUCGUAGCUCCAGUUAUAAAUGAUUUAGUGACUGUUGCUUAGGAAGACAGCUUGUAGUGAAAUUAUGAUUAUGUGGUAAACAUUGACAAAAAUUUGUUAAUGAGUUGCUUAUUAUUUUCUUAUAAGCUUACUAUGAUCUGUAGGUGUGGUUGGCCGAAUAUUGUAAGGGGUUAAUACGUAGUUUGUAUUUGAAUAGUUAGAUUAACGUGUUAGUAAUCCAAUUGUAGGCGGUUCGUGUGUGGAUCUCGUCAGCAUAUCGUCGCAAACAGGUGUGUAACUAACACCCUCUUUCUUAGUCUGGAUCGGCAAAAGUCGAAAAGCCGAAAUGCUGAAAAUCGGUAUUUUGUAGAUUUGCGAUUGUGCGAAUGCUCGUGAGGUAAAUCGAUUAAUGUUUUUGGUAAGCUGCAAAAUUUGAACUGUAAAGUGCAUGAUUUCUGUGCCCUUGAUAUUUUUGGGCUUAAUGGGCCAAAAUUGGAAUGAUGGGCCAACGGGCCCAAUUCGGUAAGAACCCUCGGUACGUGAUUCUGUUAGUACGUGAAAAGUAGGAAUAUGCAUGAAAAACCCUAAAGUAGAUAAAUUACUGAAAUACCUUUAAAAGUGGAAAAUUUACAGUUUUACCCCUAGGAGAUAAAUUACCGAAAUACCCCUAAGGUUAAAUUGACCUAAAUGCAUGUUUGACUGUUGUUAUUUACUGCAUGCCAUGUUGUUAUUAUCUGAUGCAUGGGACUGGGAUAUUGACAGAGGAAGUACUAAAAGUGGCUUGUCCACGUACUGGAGGCUUUGCCUCAAUUUACUGUUAACUGAGCAGCAAGGCUGCAACUGUGGAGUGUUGGGCUGGGUGGGUUGAGCUACUCCCCACAUGGAGUGUAUGGCUGGUACGGGCGGAGUGUAGUGGUUGGUGGGUUGAGUAGUCUCCCCAAAUGGGCUUGCAUAUGUUUACUGAUGUUGCAUGUAUUUUGAAAUGGGCCUAUGGGCCAUACUGUUAUCUGAAUAAGGGGCUAAGGCCCAGUUUAUUGUAAUCUGAAAAGGGCUCUGGCCCAGUACCAUUGUUACCUGAAUGGGCUUAGGCCCAAUGGGCUUGAGCUGACUUGGGCUUUGAAUGGGCUUUCCUUACACACUGAGUUUCCCCAAACUCACCCUUUUUAUUUUCAUCCACGCAGGAAAUCCCCAACCAUAGUGGGCUUAGAGCUGUGAGGGAAUUUGGAGUGGCCACCCGUUCUGAAAGUUUGAUUUUCUUCUGGUGAACUGGACAUCUUUUUAUUUACGUUUGAAGUUUUGGGUUUUUAAAUGUAAUAAGGCCGCUUAAUUAUUUUUGAUGGUUUUAAUAUGUAUUACUAAGAUAGGUAAUCCUUAUUUUAACUGUUGAAAUUGGAUAGCUUUAGGGCGCGUUUUCAAAAACAACAGUUGAUUUCAAAAUAACACGACAACAAGUAAAGCUUCCGCAAUGAAAGUAUUUUCCAAAAUUAAUCACUUUUCCUAAAAAUGACUUAAUCAAAUCGGUUUCCUAGAAAUAUACAUGACGUUAAGGUAUGGAAAUGGCGGUUUGCAUGUCUAGGAUUGGAUCCGAAGGGAAUUUGGUACUUAAGCAGUCCGAUGGACUCACCUCCUCUUUCCCGGUUUCCUACUUGGUGCACAACUUCCAUUCACUUUAACCUAAAAUGAAAUCAUCUUUUAAAACACUCAGUAAGUUUUCUUUCUGGAUCGGAAAUGUUUUGAAUGCUUCGAUGUAGCAUGUCGGAUCCGGCCAUAACGUCUGGGCCGGGUUUGGGGUGCUACAUUUAGUGGUAUCAGAGCCUAGGUUGCAACAACUCGGCUGUGGAAUGGGUUUACAAAAGCAAAGAUUUUCGAAAGCGAAAAUUUUAUAAAGAAUGCGAAAAACUCGAUUUUCAAAAUUUAGAUCUUUAGAAGGUGGCAUUCCGAAUCUCCGGCCCAAGCCUGUAAGUAUUACUCUGAACUUUUCUGAAUAUUUUCCUGAAUUAUCUGUCUGUACUGAAACCCUAUUAGGAUACUCUAGAUAGGAUGAUACUGAAACCAUAGGAAAAUCUGAUAAGUGUCUGAAACUGUAGCUAGACUUCGAUUCUGCAAAAACAAACUCUGAACUACUGUCUGAUUCAUAAAACAUCUGUAAUAAACACUGAAAUAUUAAUUGAUGCAUAAAAAUUCGUAAUUAAGAUAAUACGAUAUGAGUACAAGAGGCCGUGGACGGAGCCGAGGAAGUGCUCGAGCGAGAUCUUCGUCUUCGAGACAUAUGCCGGUGGUGGAUGCACCGGUACCACCGGUAACAGAGGUAGAGUCUCAUGACCGCGGUGCCGAGGAUGAUGCCCUGUCACAGGCAAUGCUUCGUGUUCUGGAAAGGGUUGUCGGGGCAAGUACGGGCAAUGGAGUUCGGGGAUCUAUUUCUGAACGACUUCGGGCUAACGGAGCGGAGAUCUUUAGGGGCGUGUCUGGUAUAGCCCCGAAUGUGGCCGAGUAUUGGUUGGAGGCCACAGAACAGAUUUUGGACAACUUGGACUGCUCUGAGGAGAUUGUGAGUGGGGUAUCUGUACUAAGUCCUUUGGGUCACUCGGUUAGGGUAGACAAACUGUAUAGGGAUGUACCCUUUGAAACUCAAGGUAGGAUUUUCCCUGGAGAUCUGAUGGAGUUACCGUUCGGAGAGUUUAAUCUCAUUUUGGGAAUGGACUGGCUUGUUAAGCAUAAGGCGACCCUGGAUUGUGCUGCUAAACGAAUGGUGUUAAGGACCACAAAGUAUGAGGAGGUUAUGGUGAUAGGCGAGCGAAUGGAUUAUUUGUCCAAUGUGGUGUCGGCUUUAAGAUUCGAAAAGUGGAUUCGGAAAGGUUGUGAGGCCUAUUUGGCAUUUGUAAGUCAGUCAGAAGAGGAGGGAUUGUCAGUGGAUAAAGUUAGGACUGUAAAGGAGUUCCAAGAUGUUUUUCCAGAUGAGCUUUCAGGAUUGCCUCCGAACCGAGAAGUGGAGUUUAGAAUCGACUUAUUGCCUGGAACGGCACCAGUGUCUAUCGCACCGUAUAAAGUGGAACCGAAGGAGUUGGUGGAGCUAAAGGCACAAAUUCAAGAGUUGUUGGAUAGGGGCUUCAUUAGGCCAAGCGUGUCUCCAUGGGGAGCACCGGUGCUAUUCACAAAAAAGAAGGAUGGUACGAUGCGGAUGUGCAUUGAUUAUCGCCAGUUGAAUAAACUGACGAUUAAGAAUAAGUAUCCACUGCCAAGGAUUGACGAUCUGUUUGACCAACCUAGAGGAGCUUCUGUAUUUUUCAAGAUCGACCUUUGAUCUGGAUAUCAUCAGUUAAGGGUCAAGGAGGCAGAUAUCCAUAAGACAGCAUUCAGGACUCGGUAUGGUCAUUACGAGUUUCUGGUUAUGCCAUUUGGACUGAUGAACGCUCCUGCAGCAUUUAUGGAUCUGAUGAAUCGUGUGUUCCAACCAUUUUUUGAUCAGUUCAUAGUUGUCUUUAUUAACGAUAUCCUGGUAUAUUCUGAAACUGAAGCGAAACAUGAUGAGCAUCUCCGUAUAGUGCUGCAAGUGUUAAGGGAGAAGGAACUCUUUGUGAAGUUCAGCAAGUCUGAACUUUGGUUGAGGGGGGUAACCUUCUUAGGACAUUUGCUGAGGGGAUUAAGGUGGACCCUCGAAAAAUUGAAGCGAUUUUGGAAUGGAAGCUACCUAGGUCAGUUUUGGAAAUAUGGAGUUUCCUAGGACUGGCAGGAUACUACAGAAGGUUUGUGGAAGGUUUUUCUGUGAUGGCAGCACCUUUGACAAAACUCAUAAGGAAAGGAGUACAGUUUGUAUGGACUAAGAAGUAGCAGGAAGCUUUUAAAAAUUUAAAGAAAGUUCUGAUUGAAGCACCUGAGUUAAUUCAGCCGGAAUCUGGGAAGGAUUUUACUGUGUACAGUGACGCAUCACACGUGGGUUUGGGCUGCGUGUUAAUGCAAGAGGGUAAGGUGGUUGGAUAUGCAUCACGAUAGCUUAAACCUCAUGAGGGGAACUAUCCGACUCAUGAUUUGGAGUUGGCAGCAGUGAUAUUCGCACUUAAGAUUUGGAGACAUUACUUGUACGGAGAAAGGUGUAUUAUAUACACUGACCAUAAGAGUCUUAAGUAUUUGUUGACUCAGAAGGAGCUGAACCUUAGGCAAAAGAGAUGGAUUGAGUUGCUUAAGGAUUAUGACUGUUCGAUCGAGUAUCACCCAAGCAAGGCUAAUGUGGUAGCCGAUGCUCUAAGUCGUAGAGUUGUAUCUGAUCUGAGAGCAAUGUUUGCUCGUCUGAGUCUGUAUGAUGAUGGAAGUCUGUUGGCUGAGUUGCAAGUGAGGCCAACCUAGGUGGAUCAAAUUAAGGAAAAACAGUUGAACGAUGAGUCUUUGGUCGCUCGUUUUCAACAAAUUAAGGAAGGGGAAACUUUUGAGUUUGGGAGCCAGAAGAGACGAUGCAACAGUAAUACCCUCAUCUGUUUGGAUUAGGUAAAUUUCGAGGACAAAAUUUCUUUAAGGAGGGUAGAGUUGUAACGCCCCAAUUUUCGGGAAUCCGGUGAAUGUUGGCAUAGGUUUAAUUAUGUUAGUGGGCCUCUAGAAGGCCCAAGCUUAAGAUAGAACCCAGCAAUUUUAGUUAAUUUUUGUACCAUAAGAAAAAGGGGGUGAAAUUAUGAAAUAAAACCUAUUUGAAAAUGUUUGAAAAUGCUAUAGGCUAAAUUGAAGUGGCCAAAUAAAUAGGAGUGCAAAAUAGGAGGAUUUGCAUAAAAAACCUCCCAUUUUACAUGAAGUGGCCAGCCAUCAUGUUGUUGUAGACAAAAUGUGCACUUGAUAUCCAUAAUUUAUGGUACAAAUUGAUACAAAUUGAUAAUAGGUUAGGUAAAUGUUUCAUGAUAAUGGGUUAGGUAAAUGUUUCAUGAUAAGAAUUUCAUGUCUUUUGUAUUAAAGAAUUAAAUGGAUGAAAUAUAAAGUUUUAUUAAAAGAAAAAGGGUGAAAAGAACAAAGUUUUGUCCAUCUUUGUUCAUCAUAGAUGAAAGUUAGAGAAGAGAAAGGAGAGGAGAAAGCUCUUGAGUAUUCGGUCAUUAGGAGGAGGAAAAUUGAAGGUAAGUUCUUGGUACCUUGCUUCUAUAUUUGAGGUUCAUGAGUUCUUCUUGAUUCUACCUUAACUCUUGAAGUAUAUUUUGAUUUUUGGUUGUGUUGUGAGCAUUUGGUCAUGAAUUAAAAUGAAGGAAAUGGUUGUUGUUUCAUGUUCUUUUGAUGAAAAAUGGAAGAUAUGUGAAGUUGAGCCAAACAAAUGAGCAUGCAUGUGCCUUAGAUGCUAAAGGGAAAAAUCAGCUAACAUGUUGUGCUUUAAAAUGAUGAAAUGGAGAUUAUGCUUAAGUAAAAAUCAUAGAUAUGUGAUGAUUGAUUGGUGAUAUACAUGUUUAAAUAACAUGCAUGCAAGAUAGGUGUAUGAAAGAGUGAUUUGGUAAUAAAUCUGCUUGGGACAGCAGCAGUAACGUGACUUUGGAAAAUCACCAUAAAUUGUGGGAGAUGAAUUAGAAGCUGAAUAAAUUAUUUAAUUAAAGCUUAUUGAGUCUAGUUUCUAAUGAAAUAAACAAGAACAUAUUUUGAAUUCUGUACAAUGAGAAAUUUGAUUCGUAAUGAAGAGUGGUCAGAUUAGUCAAACAGUGAAACAUGGGAAACUUUGAGAAAAAUCUGGUAUUGAUUGGCUAAACCAAAAAUUCUGAAAAUUUUAUGGAUAGAAGAUAUAUGAGUAUAUUUUCAAGGAAAAUUAACGGAACUUGAUUUGGAGUUUCGUAGCUCCAGUUAUAAAUGAUUUAGUGACUAUUGCUCAGGAAGACAGCUUGCAGUGAAAUUAUGAUUAUGUGGUAAACAUUGACAAAAAUUUGUUAAUGAGUUGCUUAUUGUUUUCUUAUGAGCUUACUAUGAUCUGUAGGUGUGGUUGGCUGAAUAUUGUAAGGGGUUAAUACGUAGUUUGUAUUUGAAUAGUUAGAUUAACGUGUUAGUAAUCCAAUUGUAGGCGGUUCGUGUGUGGAUCUCGUCAGCAUAUCGUCGCAAACAGGUGUGUAACUAACACCCUUUUUCUUAGUCUGGAUCGGAAAAAGUCGAAAACCCGAAAUGCCGAAAAUCGGUAUUUUGUAGAUUUGCGAGUGUGCGAAUGCUCGUGAGGUAAAUCGAUUAAUGUUUUUGGUAAGCUGUAAAAUUUGGACUGUAAAGUGCAUGAUUUCUGUGCCCUCGAUAUUUUUGGGCUUAAUGGGCCAAAAUUGGAAUGAUGGGCCAACGGGCCCAAUUCGAUAAGAACCCUCGGUACGUGAUUCUGUUAGUACGUGAAAAGUAGGAAUAUGCAUGAAAAACCCUAAAAUAGAUAAAUUACUGAAAUACCUUUAAAAGUGAAAAAUUUACAGUUUUACCCCUAGGAGAUAAAUUACCGAAAUACCCCUAGGGUUAAAUUGACCUAAAUGCAUGUUUGACUGUUGUUAUUUACUGCAUGCCAUGUUGUUAUUAUCUGAUACAUGGGACUGGGAUAUUGACGGAGGAAGUACUAAAAGUGGCUUGUCUAUGUACUGGAGGCUUUGCCUCAAUUUACUGUUAACUGAGCAGCAAGGCUGCAACUGUGGAGUGUUGGGCUGGGUGGGUUGAGCUAUUCCCCACAUGGAGUGUAUGGCUGGUACGGGUGGAGUGUAGUGGUUGGUGGGUUGAGUAGUCUCCCCAAAUGGGUUUGCAUAUGUUUACUGAUGUUACAUGUAUUUUGAAAUGGGCCUAUGGGCCAUACUGUUAUCUGAAUAAGGGGCUAAGGCCAUUUUAUUGUAAUCUGAAAAGGGCUCUGGCCCAGUACCAUUGUUACCUGAAUGGGCUUAGGCCCAAUGGGCUUGAGCUGACUUGGGCUUUGAAUGGGUUUUCCUUACACACUGAGUUUCCCCAAACUCACCCCUUUUAUUUUCAUCCACGCAGGAAAUCCCCAACCAUAGUGGGCUUGGAGUUGUGAGGGAAUUCGGAGUGGCCACCCGUUCUGAAAGUUUGAUUUUCUUCUGGUGAACUGGACAUCCUUUUAUUUACGUUUGAAGUUUUGGGUUUUUAAAUGUAAUAAGGCCGGUUAAUUAUUUUUGAUGGUUUUAAUAUAUAUUACUAAGAUAGGUAAUCCUUAUUUUAACUGUUGAAAUUGGAUAGCUUUAGGGCGCGUUUUCAAAAACAACAGUUGAUUUCAAAAUAACACGACAACAAGCAAAGCUUCAACAAUGAAAGUAUUUUCCAAAAUUAAUCACUUUUCCUAAAAAUGACUUAAUCAAAUCGGUUUCCUAGAAAUAUACAUGACGUUAAGGUAUGGCAAUGGCGGUUUGCAUGUCUAGGAUUGGAUCCGAAGGGAGUUUGGUACUUAAGCAGUCCGAUGGACUCACCUCCUCUUUCCCGGUUUCCUACCUGGUGCACAGCUUCCAUUCACUUUAACCUAUAAUGAAAUCAUCUUUUAAAACACUCAGUAAGUUUUCUUUCUGGAUCGGAAAUGUUUUGAAUGCUUCGAUGUAGCAUGUCAGAUCCGGCCAUAACGUCUGGGCCGGGUUUGGGGUGCUACAUUUUAUUCCUAUGAACUUACUAAGCUUUUAUAAGCUUACUUGAAUGUAUUCAAUGUCUCUUGUAAAUUGACGUGGAAAAAUACGGAGGAUCGGAUCAACACAGAGGAUCACACUAUCCAGAUUAUCUCCGGUAGCUUUUGUAAAUUUCCUUUUUGAUUUAUAUGGCAUGUAUAAGGUUUGAUGAUUAUAUAAAUACUAAGACUUGUUUAAUGAAUAUACAUUAAAGUAAAGAAUGAUGAAUAUGUUUAAUAGUAUAAUUAUAAUAGUAAUAUAAUUUGGUAUCAAAUUGUUUGAAAUGAAUUGGUUGGUUGGAUUGGUCUCAGUUUUAAAAUUUGCAGGGAAGGUUAGAUAUUUAUAAAGGGGUUAUAUUGAGCAAAAAAAAAAACUUUGGGAUUUUGGGAAAAAUUCCCUAUGGUUCGAUUUAAUUCUGGUUUGGUCUCGAAGUAUGUUUUGGGCUUUGGAGGCCAUCUAAAGGACGCCAUGACAUGUUUUAGUAAAUGAAUAGUAUUUAACUCGUAUUAAUGGAAAAUUAAUUUGAUAAACUCCGGUAAUGCCUCCUACCCUAUUCCGGAGACGAAUACGGGUAAGGGGUGUUACAUUUAGUGGUAUCAGAGCCCAGUUUAGCCGGUUCUCGGAACAUGGGUUAUGUGUAAAGUGUUUAGAAAUACAUGCCAUAUAAAUCUAUGAUAGUGUGAUGUGUAUGAUCCGAUCUAAUCUUUGUCAUUUUUAUAGAUACUCUCUGAUUAUAAAGAUGUCAGAUAGACCUGAACGCACUGAACAGGAGGAAGCUAAUAGUAAAGUGCAGACUUCUAAACAAGUAACAAGUAGUGAUACUCCAAUUUCUAUGAUGUGAGAGCGAGAACUUAAAAAUAUGAUUUAUGGAGUUAUGAAUCAGUGGUAUAAGGAGAUGGUACAAGAAAGAAGUCAGGCUCAACCACCUCCUCCCCCUACUGCACCACCUGUGGUACCUCCGGUUGCUCUUCCACCUCUUUCAAUAAUUGAAACUAGUAAACGUUCUCUGAUAGAAAAGCUUAGGAAGUUUGGAGCUGAGGAAUUUUGAGGGAGAUCAAAUGAUGACCCUGUAAAAGCUGAGUAUUGGCUACAGAGUUUGGUAAGAAUUUUUAAAUAGAUGGCUUGUUCUCCGGAGGAUUAUCUACGAUGUGCUGUCUCAUUGUUAAAAGAAGAAGCAUAUAACUGGUGGGAAACUGUGGAAGCUGUAGUACCUGCAGAGAAGCUUACUUGGGAAUUUUUCCAGAACAAGUUUAAAAAAGAAAUAUGUGGGGAAAAGAUAUCUAGACAAGAAAAAGAGAGAAUUUCUUGAUCUACGGCAGGGAAAUAAGUCAGUGGCUGAAUACGAAAGAGAAUUUGUCUACCUUAGCAAAUAUGCUCAAGACAUUGUACCUACUGAAGAAGAAAUGUGUAUCAGAUUUGAAGAAGGGUUAAAUGAUAAGAUUAGAAUGAUGAUUGGGGCUAGUGAAAUACGAGAGUUCGUUGUUCUGUCAGACCAUGCUCAAAAGCUCGAAGAAGUAUAUAACAGAAAAAUACAGCGAGAUCGGAAAAAUAAAGAGUCAUUUAAAAGAGGUGCUUCUGAGUCAUUUUCAGAUUUGCCGGUGAAAAAAUCUAGAGAAGAAAUUAGUCGAACUACAUCCGUGCCGGGAAGAUUGGGUAGAGGUAAAUCAAGACAAUCUGAUUUCAGGGUAUUUGAUAGACCUGCAGCAAGUGUGAGCAGUGUUCAGAAUACUCCCCGGCCUAAGUGUCAAUAUUGUGGAAGACAUCAUUUCGAUGAAUGCAGGACUAAGAUGGGGGCUUGUUAUAAAUGUGGGGCUACUGAUCAUCUUAUUCGAGAUUGUCCCAGGUGUAAAAAGAUGAAGUGGAUCAGAAAGAGAUACAGAGAACCACUCCCCAAAGAAGUAGACGUUCGGGCCAGAGCAGUGCUACAGGGGCUACCCGUUUGGGUAUGAGAGAACCAGUUAGUCAAUCAGAGAAUAGAGCACCAGCACGUACCUAUGCCAUUCGAGCAAGGGAAGAGGCUACGGCUCCUGAUGUAAUUGCUAGUAUUUUCUAUCUUUAUGAUGUUACUGUUUAUGCAUUAAUAGACCCUGGGUCUACUCAUUCAUAUAUUUGCACUAUGCUAGCAUCUGAAAAGAAAUUAUCUGUUGAGUCCACUAAUUAUGAUAUACAAGUCACUAAUCCAUUAGGUCAAAGUGUGAUGGUUAAUUUAAUAUGUCGAAAUUGUCCACUGAAAGUGAAAGGCUGUGAAUUCCCAGCUGAUUUGAUGUUGUUACCCUUUCAGGAAUUUGAUAUUAUUCUGGGGAUGGAUUGGUUAACAAAACAUGACGCUGUAGUGAACUAUCGGGAGAAACGAAUUGAUUUGGAAAAUCAGACAGGAGAAAUGAUUUCGGCUGAGUUUGGAAAUAUGAAAGAUAAUGUCCAAAUUAUUUCAGCCUUUUCAGCUUAAAAGCUAAUACAAAAGGGUAAUGAAGCAUAUUUAGCUUAUAUUCUUGAUACUCGGGAUUCUGAAUCAAAGUUGAAACAGUUGCCAGUUGUUAAUGAAUUUGAUGAUGUGUUUCCUGAGGAAUUGCCGAGUUUACCGCCAGAUCGUGAAGUUGAGUUUGUGAUUGAUGUGAUCCCGAGAACAGGUCCAAUAUCCAUAACACCAUACAGAAUGGCACCGGCGGAAUUAAAAGAGUUGAAGACUCAAUUGCAAGAAUUGUUAGAUAAAGGGUUUAUUAGACCGAGUACAUCUCCUUGGGGUGCACCUGUUUUGUUUGUGAAAAAGAAAGAUGGUUCGUUGAGAUUGUAUAUAGAUUACAGACAGUUAAAUAGAUUACAGACCGAGAUUGUAUAAAGAUGAUUUAUUCGAUCAAUUGAAAGGUGCUGCUGUGUUUUCAAAAAUAGAUCUUCGAUCUGGGUAUUAUCAGCUAAAAGUUAAAGAAUGUGACAUGCCAAAAACUGCCUUUAGAACUCGGUAUGGUCAUUAUGAGUUUCUGGUAAUGCCAUUUGGUUUAACUAAUGCUCCUGCUGCAUUUAUGAACUUGAUGAAUUGGAUUUUUCAACCUUAUUUGGAUAGAUUCGUGGUUGUAUUUAUUGAUGAUAUACUGAUCUAUUCGAAGACCGAGCCUGAUCAUGCACAACACUUGAGAAGUGUGUUACAGACUUUGAGAGAGAAGCAGUUGUAUGCAAAGUUCAGCAAGUGUGAAUUUUGGCUACAUAAGGUUGGAUUUCUGGGUCAUAUUAUUUCAGCUGAAGGAAUUCAAGUAGAUCCAAGUAAAGUGUCAGCAGUGGUGAAUUGGAAAACUCCAAAGAACGUAACAGAAGUGCGGAGUUUCCUGGGAUUAGCGGGAUACUACCGCCAAUUUGUUAAAAAUUUUUCAAUGAUUGCCUUGCCGAUGACUCGACUACUUCAGAAGAAUGUUGAAUUUGUAUGGUCUGAAGAGUGCCAACAAAGUUUUGACCAGUUGAAGAAGAUGUUGACAGAAGCUCCAGUGUUAACUCAGCCAGAAUCAAGUAUACCAUAUGUUGUGUAUAGUGAUGCAUCUUUAAAUGGUUUGGGUUGUGUUUUAAUGCAGUCAGGGAAAGUAGUGGCAUAUGCUUCUCGGCAAUUAAAACCACAUGAAAAAAAUUACCCUACCCAUGAUUUAGAGUUGGCCGCGAUUGUGUUUGCUUUAAAAAUCUGGAGACAUUAUUUAUAUGGGGAAAAAUGUUAUGUGUAUACCGAUCACAAAAGUCUGAAAUAUUUGAUGACACAGAAAGAGCUGAACUUGAGACAGAGACGAUGGCUCGAACUAUUGAAAGAUUAUGAUCUUGUUAUUGAUUAUCACCCGGGGAAAGCUAAUGUGGUCGCUAAUGCACUUAGCCGAAAACCAUCAUUGUUUGCACUUCGAGCAAUGAAUGUUCAUUUCUCUGUUAAUGAAGAUGGUUCAGUAUUAGCAGAAUUGAAAGCAAAAUCUACAUUCCUUCAACGGAUCCGUGAAUUACAGAGUGAUGAUCCUAAACUAGUACUGAAAUGACAAACGGUUCAGGAUAAUUUGAGUUCAGAAUAUAGCGUUGAUGAUGGUGGUAUGUUGCGUUAUCGUAAUAGAAUUUGUGUUCUGAAUAAUUCAGAAUUGAAAAAUGAUAUUCUUGCUGAAGCUCAUAAUAGUAAGUAUUCUAUUCAUCCGGGUAGUACAAAAAUGUAUUGCGAUUUAAAAAGAAUGUAUUGGUGGCCUGGUAUGAAAUGAGAGAUUUAUGAAUUUGUUGCAAAAUGUCUAAUCUGUCAGCAAGUGAAAGCAGAGCAUCAAGUACCAACGGGUUUAUUACAACCUAUUAUGAUUCCUGAAUGGAAGUGGGAACACAUUACGAUGGAUUUUGUAUCAGGAUUGCUUGUGACUCCGAAAAAGAAAGAUUCAAUCUGGGUUAUCGUUGAUAGAUUGACAAAGUCGGCACAUUUUAUUCCAGUCAGAUCAAAUUUUUCAUUGGAGAAGUUAGCAGAAUUGUAUAUUUCUGAGAUUGUGAGAUUACAUGGAGUUCCAGUAUCUAUUAUUUCGGAUCGGGAUCCGAGAUUUACUUCGAGAUUUUAGAGUAAAUUACAGGAGGCUUUGGGCACUAAAUUAAAUUUCAGCACAGCUUUUCAUCCUCAGACAGACGGGCAGUUAGAGCGAGUGAUUCAGAUUUUAGAAGAUAUGUUAAGGUGUUGUGUACUUUAGUUUGGCGGCAGCUAGGAAAGGUAUUUACCUUUAGUCGAAUUUGCUUAUAAUAAUAGUUAUCAAACUAGUAUUAAAAUGGCACCAUUUGAAGCUCUGUAUGGAAGAAAGUGUAGAACUCCAUUAUAUUGGUCUGAAUUAAGUGAACAGAAACUAAUGGGAGUGGACUUGAUUCGGGAAACCGAAGAAAUAGUUCGUAUUAUUCGAGAUUGUUUAAAAGCUGCUUCCGAUCGGCAAAAAUCAUAUGCAGAUUUAAAGAGAAGAGAUAUAGAGUUUAAUGUGGGUGAUCGUGUAUUCUUGAAAGUGUCACCGUGGAAGAAAGUUUUGCGGUUCGGUAGAAAAGGAAAACUCAGCCCACGAUUUAUCGGGCCGUAUGAAAUCAUUGAAAGAAUCGGUCCGGUAGCUUAUAGAUUGGCUUUGCCCCCGGAGCUUGAAAAGAUUCAUAAUGUGUUUCAUGUGUCUAUGUUGAGACGGUACAGAUCAAAUCCAUCACAUGUAAUUCCUCAUACAGAAAUAGAGCUCCAACCCGACAUGACUUAUUCAGAAAAACCGGUGAAAAUUCUAGCUUGGGAAAUUAAAGAGUUAAGGAACAAACGGGUACCGUUAGUAAAAGUGUUGUGGCAUCGACAUGGUGUGGAGGAGGCAACCUGGAAAACAGAGGAAUCAAUGAAAUCACAAUAUCCGAACCUAUUUUCAGGUAACAAAUUUCGAGGACGAAAUUUUUUAAGAGGGGGAGAAUUGUAAUAGCCUAAAUUUUCAGUGGUGUCGGAACAGUGAUUCGAGAUCACUAAAUCCAAAAAAUGAGUAGAAAAUAUUAAUAAUUUAGUGAAUAGAAAAUAUUAAUAAUUUAGUGAAUAUAAGUUAAACGUGAAGUUAGGAAAAUUUUUGAAAUAGCGAAUAGUGUACUAGAAAUAAAAAUUAAAUUAGAAUCGGAAACGAGAUAUCGAGAGUUUGAAAAUUUUUAAAACGAGCCAUAAAUAUUUUUAUAAAUAUUUAUGGAGUGUUAAUAAGUUAGUAUUAAAGUUUCGUCAAGAAAUUUUAAAUUUUCGAUAGUUAAUUGAAUAAAAAGGAUUAAAUUGUAACAAAUGUAAAAUUAUGGGAAAUGAUUAAAUAGCUUAAUUGAUAAAAGAAAGAGGGUUUAAAAGGAAAAUAGACCCAAGGUCUAUUUGGGCUGAACGGCAAGGUGCAUGAAAUCAGCAGGAAAAUUGAUGAAUUAAGGGCAAAAUUGGAAUAUUGCAAAAUUUACUUAAUAAACUAAGACUAAAGUGGAAUUAUCUAGAAUUCUCAUUAUUUUUCUGCAUUCUCAUCAGCAAAAACACCAUAGAAGGGUUUUAUUAAGCUGGUUUUGCAUAUUUUUACUGCAACUAAGUUCAAUUCUUGAUUAUUUCUUGAAAUUUUUGUGUUUUUAUGACUUUUACAACUAGGGCCACUUGUUGAAUUCAUUAGUUUUUGAUUCUAUGAAAGAAAUUGGAAGUUUUUAUGAAUAUGAGUUGGAAGUAUAUGAUGAUUUAGCAUGGAAUUAGAGUUUUAAAUUGUUUAUAUGCUGAUUUUAUUGAAAGAAUUGAAUAGAAAGUGAAUGUUUGGGACCUAAUGGUGAAAGAGUUUGAAGUUAGGGUUUUAUGUGGAAAUUAUGAAUUUAAAUAAUUGUGAAAUAACUUAUAAUGUCUAGGUAAAGCAUUAAUUGGGAAAAAUUAGCUUCAUUGAGGGAUUAAUUGAGCAAGGACUGAUUGUAUGAACUGUGAAAUUUGGGGCAAAAACUGAAAUUAACAUUUGCACUAAAACAGUUUUGGACAGCAACAGUAGUCUAACUUUUAAAAAUCACCAUAAAUUGUAUAAAUCCAAUUAAAAGAUGAAAAAAAUAUGAAAUUAAAGCUUAUUGAGUCUAGUUUCUCAUAGAAGAAACAGUGUAAGCAACGGAAUUGUAGAUCAUGAGAUAUAAUAGAUUUUGUGAGACACUAUCAGGAUGAUUUCGGGUUCCCCUGUUCUGACUUUGGAAAAUCAUCAAACAUUGGAGAAAAAUAAUUAGGGGCUUAAAUUUAUAUUUUUAAAAUCCUUAAUGAGUCUAUUUUCAAUAGAAACAAACAUGGACAUCAUCCAAAUUUUGUACGAAGAGAUAAUUAAUUUUUAGUGAAGAAGUGUUGGAAUUGUUAGACAGCAGAACAUGGGUGACUUUAAAGAAUAAACUGUACUUAUUGGCUAAACCAAAAAUUCUAAAAAUUUUAUGAUAAGAAUAUAUAUGAGUCUAGUUUCAAGGAAAUUAGCAAAUCCUAAUUUGGAGUUCUGUAGCUAAAGAUAAAUAUAAUUUAGUGACUAUGGCACCGAUGGACAGCAUUGGAAUAUACAUAAGUAAACAAUUAAAUUAUAGAUAAUAUUACUUAUAAGCGGGUUGAAGAUGAAGUCAAUACUGAUAAGUGAAUGAUUUUACAAUGAUAUAUCGAGAACCCGAAGCAAGUCGAGGAAAAGAAAAAGUAGCUGAUUAGUCCCUGAACUUUCAUAAAUUUUACAAAUCAACCCAGGUAAGUUCAUAUGGUUGAAGUUUAAUGAUUAUAUGUAAAUUUUAUGAAUUAUAUAAUGUAUGAUGAAAUAUAUUUAUUGAUGAAUAGAGAAUAAAAUAACAACUCGAAAAUCAAAUAAAUGAUCAAAUUGAGCGGAACGUCGGAUUUGAGUACUUCUGAUCAGUGACAAGUGAUAAGUGGUAGCCUCAGCUACACUUAUCUGAUCAGUGAUAAGUGACAAUUAGUGAUAAGUGGUAGCUUUAGCUACACUUAUCUGAUCAGUGACAAGUGAUAAAUGUGAUCAGUGUAAGACUGUGGCAGGACUAUGACUUCAAAAAGUUAUAAGUGAUCAUACGCAAGACUAUAGUUAUGCUAUGGCAAAGUGAAAGUGAAGUACUCAAUUUUCCGUAACCGUUCCCUAAUUUGGUUGAAGAAUGAUAUGUGACAAACGGGCCCAAAAGAAUUAAAGGAAAUGGAUGAGUGGUAGUAAGUUUAUACAAAGGGAACUCACCAAUGACUGUGGUUGACAAGUGAACUUAAUCGUUGUGUAUAUUGUAUAAGUGUAUAAAUAUUUGGUAAGAUUUAUGUUUUAUGCCUAUGAACUUACUAAGCUUCUAUAAGCUUACUAGAAUGUAUUCAAUGUCUCUUGUAGAUUGACGUGGAAAAAUACGGAGGAUCGGAUCAACACAGAGGAUCACACUAUCCAGAUUAUCUCCGUUAGCUUUUGUAAAUUUCCUUUUUGAUUUAUAUGGCAUGUAUAAGGUUUGAUGAUUAUAUAAAUACUAAGACUUGUUUAAUGAAUAUACAUUAAAGUAAAGAAUGAUGAAUAUGUUAAAUAGUAUAAUUAUAAUAGUAAUAUAAUUUGGUAUCAAAUUGUUUGAAAUGAAUUGGUUGGUUGGAUUGGUCUUGGUUUAAAAUUUGCAGGGAAGGUUAGAUAUUUAUAAAGGGGUUAUAUUGAGCAAAAAAAAAACUUUGGGAUUUUGCGAAAAAUUCCCUAUGGUUCGAUUUAAUUCUGGUUUGGUCUCGAAGUAUGUUUUGGGCUUUGGACCAUCUAAAGGACGCCAUGACAUGUUUUAGUAAAUGAAUAGUAUUUAACUCGUAUUAAUGAAAAAUUAAUUCGAUAAACUCCGGUAAUGCCUCCUACCCUAUUCCGGCGAUGAAUACGGGUAAGGGAUGUUACAUGAUCCACCUCUCUUUCCUGGGAAUUGAACUUAGUGUGAUUUUUCAGUACAAUAAUUUUACUCUUUUACACGCUUCCAUGCAAUAAUUGGUAUCAAAGCUAGAUUCGUACUUUGGGAAUACGACAGUUUACGAUACUAUUUAUGUAUACGGCACUGUUCACGUAUAUAGUAGUUGGGAUUGAGGAGAAAAAUGGCAGAGGCAUCGUGAUCAGCAAGGACUACUAUGACCAAUGCAAAAUUUGAAGUAGAGAAAUUUGACGGUACCAAUAAUUUUGGUAUAUGGCAAUGUGAGAUCCUGGAUGUCUUAUGUCAGCAAGAGCUAGAUAUAGCCAUUGAAGAAAAACCUGACAAGAUGGAUGACAAGGAGUGGGCCAAGAUCAAUAGACAGGCGUGUGGUACAAUCCGCCUAUGUUUGGCCAAAGAGUAGAAGUAUUCUGUCAUGAGGGAGACAUCAGCGAAGAAGUUAUGGGAUACACUGGAAGAAAAGUUUUUAACGAAAAGUCUUGAAAAUAGGCUUUAUAUGAAAAAGAAACAUUUUCGAUUCACGUAUGCUCUCGGUAUGUCGAUGAAUGACCGUGUGAACUCAUUCAAUAAAAUUUUAGCAGACUUGCUAAAUUUGGAUGAAAAUUUUGAAGAUGAAGAUAAGGCAUUAUUGUUGUUGAAUUCCCUUCCUGAUGAAUAUGAUUAUGUUACCACCACAUUACUUCAUGGGAAGGACACGAUCACAUUUGAUGCAGUCUGUAGUGCGUUGUAUUGAUCUGAGACUCGAAAAAAAGAUAAAAGAGAUCACAGAGAUACAAAUGCAGAAGUCUUAACAGUAAGAGGUCAUUCACACAGCAGCAAAUCUGUUAGAAGGGGAAAGUCCAAAGGGAGAACCACCAAAGAUGAAUGUGCCUUUUGUCGUGAGAAAGGGCAUUGGAAAAAGAAUUGUCCUAAGCUACAAAAGGGCAAUGCUAUUUCUAAUGCAUGUGUAGCGGAGCAUGAUGAGGAGUCAGACUUUAGCUUUGUUGGCAUGGCAAUGGUAUGUCAUACGGAUGGGUGGAUUUUGGAUUCAGGAUGUACUUACCAUAUGUGUCCUAAUAAGGACUGGUUUUCUAGUCUUAAAAAGCUAGAAUGUGGAGUUGUUCUUAUAGGCAAUGAUAGUGCUUAUAAGACAAUGGGAGUGGGUACAAUCCAAUUGAAGAAUCACGACGGCUCAAUCCAAGUCUUGACAGAUGUUCGCUACGUACCUAGCUUGAAGAAAAAUCUCAUAUCAUUAGGGGCCCUAGAAUCUAAAGGGCUCAUAAUCAUUUUGAGAGAUGGAUUACUAAAGGUAGUAACCGAGAAAUUGACAGUAAUGAAUGGCACAAGAAGAAAGAACUUGUAAUUUUUAAAUGGAAGUACAGUUAUUGGAUUAACAUCAAUAGUUUCUACGAAAGAUGCAGAUUCAGAGGUUACCAGAUUAUGGCAUAUGCGAUUGGGACAUUCUAGUGAAAAAGCUUUGCAGACUUUAGCGAAGCAAGGCUUGUUGAAAGGUGCAAAUUCUUGCAAAUUGGAAUUUUGUGAACAUUGUGUUCUGGGAAAGCAGAUGAGGGUAAAAUUUGGUUCAGCAAUUCACAAUACGAAAGGAAUUUUAGACUACGUUCACAGUGAUGUGCGGGGACCUACCAAAGUGGCUUCUUUGGGAGGUAUGCACUAUUUUGUUACUUUUGUUAAUGAUUAUUCAAGAAAAGUAUGAGUGUAUCUAAUGAAAAGAAAAAGUGAAGUUUUGGAUGCAUUUCUGAAAUGGAAAAAGAUGGUGGAGACUCAGACUAGUCGAAAGGUCAAAUGACUUCGAUUAGAUAAUGGUACUGAGUACAAAAAUGAUCCAUUUCUACAAGUAUGUCAAGAUGAGGGCAUUGUGCGACAUUCACUGUUCGGGAUACACCACAGCAGAAUGAGGUGGCAGAACGCAUGAAUCGGACUAUACUAGAGAAAGUUCGAUGUAUGUUGUCCAAUGCUGGAUUGGGUAAGGAAUUUUGGGCUAAAGUAGUUACAUAUGCGUCCAUCAGCUGCAAUAAAUGGAAAAACUCCUAUGGAGUUGUGGACUGGUAAAUUUGCUACUGAUUAUGAUUCUUUACAUAUAUUUGGUUCCACUGCAUAUUAUCAUGUAAAAGAAUCUAAGUUAGACUCAAGAGCAAAGAAAUCAUUAUUCUUGGGUAUAACUGAUGGAGUAAAAGGAUACCGUCUCUGGUGUCCUGAUACAAGGAAGAUUGUUUUCAGUAGAGAUGUGACUUUUGAUGAAUCAACCAUAUUAAAGUACAAGGAUUCAUAAAAGGAUGACAAAACCAGUAGUACUUUGCAGCAGGUGGAGCUUGAAAAGGUUAACGAUGAUCCAUCUAAUAUUGGAGGGACAAAUGAUGAAGAAGUUUCAUCCCAAGAACCUCUACAGCAACAAGAUUCAAUUGCAUAUAGGAGGCCAAGAAGAGAGAUUUGUAAGCCUGCUCGUUUUGAUGAUAUAGUGGCCUAUGCACUUCUAAUUGCAGAUAAUGACGUUCCGUCUACUUACACAGAAGCAAUAAGUAACUCUGAUGGUGUAAAGUGGAAGCAAGCCAUGAAUGAAGAAAUACAGUUUCUUUAUAAAAAUAGGACUUGGGAGUUGGUGACACUGCCCAAGGGAAAGAAGGCAAUUAGAUGCAAAUAGGUAUAUGCAAAGAAGGAAUGAUUUCCUGGUAAAAAUGAAAUUCGAUACAAGGCUAGAUUGGUAGCAAAAGGUUACGCUUAGAAAGAAGGAAUAGACUACAAUGAAGUGUUUUCUUCAGUUGUGAAGCAUUCAUCCAUUCGGAUUUUGCUAACCUUGGUUGCUCAAUAUGAUCUUGAACUAGUUCAGCUUGAUGUAAAGAUCGCGUUUUACAUGGUGAUUUGGAAGAGGAAAUCUAUAUGACUCAGCCAGAUGGAUUCAAGUUGCUGGAAAAGAAAAUUGGGUUUGCAAACUGACAAAAUCGCUUUAUGGAUUGAAGCAAUCUCCGAGGCAGUGGUACAAGCGAUUUGAUCAGUUCACGAAGGGGCAAAGGUACACAAGAAGUAAAUUUGAUCAUUGCAUGUAUUUUCAGAAGCUACAAGAAGGAACUUUCAUUUACUUGCUCUUAUAUGUUAAUGAUAUGCUAAUAGCAUCUAAGAACAAAGUUGAGAUUGAAAGAUUGAAGACUCAACUCAAUCUCGAGUUUGAGAUGAAAGAUCUAGGUGAAGCUAAGAAGAUUCUCGGCAUGGAAAUAUGGAGGGAUAGAGCUCAUGAUAGAGUUAGCUUGUCUCAGAAGCAGUUUUUGAAGACGGUACUACAUUAUUUGGCAUAGAUGAGCAUACAAAACCUGUAAGUACCCCAUUGGCUUCUCAUUUCAAGCUUUCUGCACAAUUAUCUCCUUCGACGAAUGCAGAACGAGAAUACAUGUUGUAAGUUCCGUAUUCUAAUACAGUGGGUAACUUGAUGUAUGCAAUGGUGUGUACAAGACCUAACAUUUCACAGGCAGUUAGUAUAGUGAGCAGGUAUAUGCAUAAUCCUAGAAAAGAACAUUGGCAAGCUGUGAAAUGGAUUCUACAGUAUAUUCAGAAGACCGUGGAUGUUGGAUUACUGUUCAAGCAGGAUAAUACACUUAGUAAAGGUGUUAUUGGGUACGUUGAUUUUGACUAUGCUAGUGAUUUGGACAAACGAAGAUCAACCACCGGUUAUGUGUUUACACUUGCUGGAGGACCAAUAAGUUGGAAGUCUACACUACAGUUUACAGUUGCAUUGUCAACCACAGAAGCCGAAUACAUGGCUAUAACAGAGGCUGUAAAGGAAGCUAUUUGGUUACAAGGUAUGGUUAAAACCUUGGGAUUGGUUCAGGAGCAUAUUAACGUGUAUUGUGAUAGUCAAAGUGCUAUUCAUUUAGCAAAGAAUCAAGUCUAUCAUGCACGUACAAAGCAUAUUGACGUACGAUUCCAUUUUGUGCAGGAAAUUAUUGAUGAGGGGAAAAUUUAUCUUCAGAAGAUCAAGAUUGCAGAUAAUCCCGCAGAUAUGAUGACCGAGGUAGUAACAGCAACCAAGUUCGAACAUUGUUUGAACUUGAUCAAUAUCCUACAAGUUUAACAGUUGAAGAAGGCACUAUCAAGUAUUGUUGUCAAAGGUAGAAAGAAUUGUGUGAAGAUAAGAUUAUCCUAAUCAAAUCUUCAAGGUGGAGAUUAUUAGAAGCUACCCAUAUAUUUGAAAAGUCAAAGAUAUAGGUGUCAGAAAGUUGGAACCGAAAAUAAGAGAAUUUAUGGCACCGAAAUUUGGUUUGAAAUUUGGCAUGGAAUAAUUGCAAUUUUGGUCCCUAAUUGUAUAGGGACUUUGCAAGUUGGCCCUUGAACCUCAACUAUAAAUAGGCCUAACUAUUUCUCAUUUUCUUCAUCCCAUAUUUGUUAUUCUCUACUUAAAGCAUUAUUUUCUCUCCCUAUUUGUAAAUUUCACUUGUAUUUUUGGAGUGAUAUAUAUUUGGUAGUGCCCGAGGACGUAGGUAAAAUUUUCUGAACCUCGUUAAAAUUCUGGUGUUCUUUAUUAUUUAUUUUUGCAUAUUUUGUGAGUGUGAUUGUAGUGAUUUAUUGUGCUAUUAAAUUAUGAUAAAGGGAUAUUCUGGCUAGGAAAGACCUGAUACUUAAGUGAUCCUCGUAAUCCACCUCUCUUUCCUAGGAAUUGAACUUAGUGUGAUUUUUCAGUACAAUAAUUUUACUCUUUUACACGCUUUCGCGCAACAUUGUUCAAAGACGAUCUGGUGAUGACGGUAUACCGGUGAUAUUUUCUAGCUCGAACUCCAACGAUGGAGUUGUUCGCCUGUCCUCUGACAUAAACAUAGAGUUCGUUCCGCUCAGAACAAGACUUUGCCGAACAACAACGGUGUGGAAGGUCGAUGAUUACGACCAUUCAGCCGGAAAAUGGUGGGUGAUAACCGAU